rfam:Taenia asiatica genome assembly, scaffold: TASK_contig0000082
GUUGAGGUCAGCUCCUGUUUUCUGCUUGGCAGGAAUGAUGGUAGGCGCAUUGUGUGCAAUAACGGGAGUGCUGACUAUCGCCCUUCCUGUUCCCGUCAUUGUUUCCAAC